rnacentral:rRNA from 1 species
GAUGAACGCUGACAGAAUGCUUAACACAUGCAAGUCAACUUGAACUUCGGUUUGGGUGGCGGACGGGUGAGUAACGCGUAAAGAACUUGCCUCACAGAUAGGGACAACAUUUGGAAACGAAUGCUAAUACCUGAUAUUAUGAUUUUAGGGCAUCCUAGAAUUAUGAAAGCUAUAUGCGCUGUGAGAGAGCUUUGCGUCCCAUUAGCUAGUUGGAGAGGUAACGGCUCACCAAGGCGAUGAUGGGUAGCCGGCCUGAGAGGGUGAUCGGCCACAAGGGGACUGAGACACGGCCCUUACUCCUACGGGAGGCAGCAGUGGGGAAUAUUGGACAAUGGACCAAGAGUCUGAUCCAGCAAUUCUGUGUGCACGAUGAAGUUUUUCGGAAUGUAAAGUGCUUUCAGUUGGGAAGAAAAAAAUGACGGUACCAACAGAAGAAGUGACGGCUAAAUACGUGCCAGCAGCCGCGGUAAUACGUAUGUCACGAGCGUUAUCCGGAUUUAUUGGGCGUAAAGCGCGUCUAGGUGGUUAUGUAAGUCUGAUGUGAAAAUGCAGGGCUCAACUCUGUAUUGCGUUGGAAACUGUAUAACUAGAGUACUGGAGAGGUAAGCGGAACUACAAGUGUAGAGGUGAAAUUCGUAGAUAUUUGUAGGAAUGCCGAUGGGGAAGCCAGCUUACUGGACAGAUACUGACGCUAAAGCGCGAAAGCGUGGGUAGCAAACAGG